GAUGAACGCUGGCGGCGCGCCUAACACAUGCAAGUCGAACGGCCGGACCCACCCCGGUGGGCGAGGCAGUGGCGAACGGCUGAGUAACACGUGGGCAACCUGCCCCCCUCCCCGGGACAGCCUCGGGAAACCGUGGGUAAUACCGGAUGUGCCGCCCCCUCCGCAUGGGAGGGGCGGGAAAGCUCCGGCGGGGGGGAUGGGCCCGCGGCCUGUUAGCUAGUUGGCGGGGCAACGGCCCACCAAGGCGACUAUGGGUAGCUGGGUUGAGAGACCGACCAGCCAGAUUGGGACUGAGACACGGCCCAG
rnacentral:rRNA from 1 species